rnacentral:misc_RNA from 1 species
UACGCAGGUGGCCAGCGUUAAUCGGAAUUACUGGGCGUAAAGCGUGCGUAGGCGGCUUUUUAAGUCGGAUGUGAAAUCCCCGAGCUUAACUUGGGAAUUGAAUUCGAUACUGGGAAGCUAGAGUAUGGGAGAGGAUGGUAGAAUUCCAGGUGUAGCGGUGAAAUGCGUAGAGAUCUGGAGGAAUACCGAGGGCGAAGGCAGCCAUCUGGCCUAAUGCUGACGCUGAGGUACGAAAGCGUGGGGAGCAAACAGG